rnacentral:rRNA from 1 species
GACGUAGGGCGCGAGCGUUGUCCGGAUUUAUUGGGCGUAAAGAGCUCGUAGGCGGUUUGUCGCGUCGUCUGUGAAAACCCACGGCUCAACUGUGGGCUUGCAGUCGAUACGGGCAGGCUAGAGUUCGGUAGGGGAGACUGGAAUUCCUGGUGUAGCGGUGAAAUGCGCAGAUAUCAGGAGGAACACCGGUGGCGAAGGCGGGUCUCUGGGCCGAUACUGACGCUCAUGCACGAAAGCGUGGGGAGCAAACAGG